GCUGAAAAUUAGGAGCACUAAGUACAUAAUCUUAACCCCCCGUUUUCAAGUUCUAAAUUGUGUAAACCCUUCAUCUUCCUUAAAUGAACAAUUCUUGAAUUACCUGGAAUUCCAGGCAGAUAAAAUUCCACCGGGAAAACGAGCAUCAUCACGUACUACCUUCGGCUCUCAUCUCCCGCGACGUUCCACCUCAAUUCCAUUGCAGCAGACAACGUCGAAAAUUCAUCACAAUUCGCAAUUUAGCAAAUCGUUUUGGAAGAAACCGACUACUAUAUCACAAUUCGUACGCAAUUUCAUUAUAGUGUGCAAAGCUAAGGAGGUGUUUAAAGUUGGUUACAACAACAUAUGGAGCACAAGCACUAAGAAGUACACUGCUAAGGAAAGUUAUAAAUAGCUGAAAGGUCAAUAUGAGACUGUGGGUUGGCAUCAUUGGGGGAAUAGUCUUAAUAUUCCAAAACAUGCCUUUAUAAGCUGGCUUAUUGCAUUGGGAAAAGUUAAGACAAGAGAUAGGUUGAAGGUUGCUGGAGUCUGUAAUGAUGUGGCAUGCUUAUUGUGUAACAGUGGGACUGAUAGUUGUCUGCAUCUUCUCUUUAGGUGCCACUUUAGCAGGACAGUGUGUGUAAAUGUUAUGAAUUGGUUGCACAUCAAAGUGGGGAAUGAUGAUUGUUUAUAUACUGCAUGGAAAAAGUGGGGAAGAAGAUACAGAAGUAGAAAACAACAACAGAUUUGCUAUAGUGCACUGGCAGCUUCUGUUUACCAUAUAUGGAGAGUAAGGAAUCAUUCUCUGUGGGGAGAAUGCAGUGCUUCAGCUUGAUAGAGUGGUGUAGUGCAUAAAUCAAGUAGAGGUUGUUGGUAGAGUCAAAAUGCAGAUGAAAGAGUCUUGGCCUGAAGCUGUAAGAAAUUGAGUAACUGUAAUCAGUGGCUAAUGUAGCUGCUUGUGUGUGGUGUUUGUGUGUAUUUAGUUGUUUUUGUUCUGCAAGUGUUUGUACUAGUUUGGCAUAGGCUAUAAUGUUGUCUGUUGGCUCUCAAUAGUUUUGAUAAUAUAAUUCUUACAUUUUACCAAAAAAAAAAUCAGUUUAAAACAAUUUAAAUUUAGAUUGGUUUAAAUUAAGUUCAGUUUCAGUUUGAAUUAGUUCAGUUAAUUCAGUUACAUAUUCAGUUCAGUUCAGUUCAGUUGAUCGAUCAACUUUUUAGUUU